rnacentral:rRNA from 1 species
GACGAACGCUGGCGGCGUGCCUAAUACAUGCAAGUCGAGCGGAGAGUUUCUGGUGCUUUCACUAGCACAACUUAGCGGCGAACGGGUGAGUAACGCGUAACGAACCUUUCUCAUUGGCUGGGCUUACUAAAAGUAACGCUAGCUCAUACUGGAUAACACUAUUUCUCGCAGGAGAGUGGAUUGAAAGGUGGUUAUGCUAAGACUAUGCGAUGUCUUCGCGGUUCGUUAGCUGGUUGGCGGGGUAAAGGCCCACCAAGGCGACGAUGCGUAGCCGAACUGGGUGGGUGAUCGGCGACCCUGGGACUGGACCAGGCCCCAGACUCCUACGGGAGGGAGCAGAAUCGAAUCUGCCGCAAUGGUCGAAAGCCUGACGCAGCAACGCCGCGUGAGUGAAGAAGAAUCUCGGUUCGUAAAGCUCUGUUGUGAGUGAAGAACGGAUUUGUACUAUCUAGACAUGUAAGUGACGGUACCUAACCAGAAAGCCACGGCUAACUACGUG